GAAGACAGCCUCUACCAGCCAGGGAGAGAGCCUGGAACAGCCUCCCUCAGGCUCAGGAGGAGCCAGCUCUGCCGACCCCGUGGUCUCAGACUCCCCGCCGCCAGGAGGUCACCGUAUCAUAUUAAGACUGAAUUCAUCCUUUCAUUGAGCUGCAUUUUCUCCCCGUCCGAUCCUACAUAUGGAGGAGAAGAGAAGAGACCAAGUUCUUCACUCCGUCCUGGCUGAUGCUGACCUCUUCCAGGAGCACCGCACGGAUGCACCCACAAGGAAAAUUCUUCCUCGAAAUUUCGUAUUGCUUCCAGGACGCCUGAUAAGAUGUGCUGUGCCCAGUUUGUUGUGGUUGUUUUAUUAAAAUUAUUUUGUGGAAAUGAUUAAAUAUCCUGACAGUAGAGCACUGUG